GGUGAAUCUUCCGCAAUGGGCGAAAGCCUGACGGAGCAAUACCGCGUGAGGGAGGAAGGCUCUUGGGUCGUAAACCUCUUUUCUCAGGGAAGAACACAAUGACGGUACCUGAGGAAUAAGCAUCGGCUAACUCCGUGCCAGCAGCCGCGGUAAUACGGAGGAUGCAAGCGUUAUCCGGAAUGAUUGGGCGUAAAGCGUCCGCAGGUGGCGAUGUAAGUCUGCUGUUAAAGAGUCUAGCUCAACUAGAUAAGAGCAGUGGAAACUACAUAGCUAGAGUACGUUCGGGGCAGAGGGAAUUCCUGGUAUAGCGGUGAAAUGCGUAGAGAUCAGGAAGAACACCAGUGGCGAAGGCGCUCUGCUAGGCCGUAACUGACACUGAGGGACGAAAGCUAGGGGAGCGAAUGGGAUUAGAUACCCCAGUAGUCCUAGCCGUAAACGAUGGAUACUAGGCGUGGCUUGUAUCGACCCGAGCCGUGCCGUAGCUAACGCGUUAAGUAUCC
rnacentral:rRNA from 1 species